GACGAACGCUGGCGGCGUGCUUAACACAUGCAAGUCGAACGGAAAGGCCCUGCUUUUGUGGGGUGCUCGAGUGGCGAACGGGUGAGUAACACGUGAGUAACCUGCCCUUGACUUUGGGAUAACUUCAGGAAACUGGGGCUAAUACCGGAUAGGAGCUCCUGCUGCAUGGUGGGGGUUGGAAAGUUUCGGCGGUUGGGGAUGGACUCGCGGCUUAUCAGCUUGUUGGUGGGGUAGUGGCUUACCAAGGCUUUGACGGGUAGCCGGCCUGAGAGGGUGACCGGCCACAUUGGGACUGAGAUACGGCCCAGACUCCUGCGGGAGGCGGCAGUGGGGAAUAUUGCACAAUGGGCGGAAGCCUGAUGCAGCAACGCCGCGUGCGGGAUGAAGGCCUUCGGGUUGUAAACCGCUUUCGCCUGUGACGAAGCGUGAGUGACGGUAAUGGGUAAAGAAGCACCGGCUAACUACGUG
rnacentral:rRNA from 1 species